GGAAUUGUCAAGGAAGCAGAGCAUAUUAGGUGGACCUGUAAAGUGGGAAGUAUGUCUAGAAUGUAUUACAAUUUGCCAGUAUUAUCUGAAAAGUUUCCUGAACUACCUCAAGUGUAUUUUUCGGAAAAAUUAUCUUUAGGAUAUUCUGAAGAUGAAAAAGAGAUAAAGGACAUUGAGUGGUCUGCUGGUGUGAGCAUAGUUAAUAAUAAUUCACUCUU